GCAACUGCUGGAGUCAGACACCUGCCGGGAAUUCCGAUUCUAACAGUCACUAUUGUCACAGCAUCUUACAGUUGGGGGGACAUGCUACAGAGGGGAGUUAAAGAUAUUCUCCAAGACACCACAACUGCAUUUCCUUAGAAAAUGAAUCUUGGUUUCAAGACCCAGACUUCACUGUGCAGACAAAGCAUCUGAAGAUGGCGCUGAGUUUUGCAGAGUGAGCGCCUUCCUACAUCACAAGGAUGCACUGUCCAGAGCAGCCACUCAGAUACAGAGCUCAGACAGGCAGCAGCGGCAGCAGCAGCACUGGGAACUGGCUCCAAUCUGCCUGUUCUGACGUGAUCACUGAAUGAGGGUCACUCUAUGAAGCCAUAGCUUCUUUGUCUCAGUCCCAUCUACAAUUCAUUCCUUCACUGCUAUGUUGAACAUUUGAGGUCCUCCCCAAGUCUCCAGCUCAUCUUACUUCUUGCUUUUAAACCUGUGUAUGUCCACAGCAUGGCAACUGAACGAACUGUGUAAAUUUAUUUCCCGUUUUUUUUUUUUUUUCACUGCUAUGUACUCACACAGUGGUGGUCUGUAUAAGGACCUGUUAAUACAAGUCUAUACUGUU